UACGGAGGAUGCGAGCGUUAUCCGGAUUUAUUGGGUUUAAAGGGUGCGUAGGCGGAUCGUUAAGUCAGUGGUCAAAUUGAGGGGCUCAACCCCUUCCCGCCAUUGAAACUGGCGAUCUUGAGUGGAAGAGAAGUAUGCGGAAUGCGUGGUGUAGCGGUGCAAUGCAUAGACAUCACGCAGAACCCCGAUUGCGAAGGCAGCAUGCCGGCUUCCUACUGACGCUGAAGCACGAAAGCGUGGGGAUCGAACAGG
rnacentral:rRNA from 1 species